CCUACGGGGGGCUGCAGUGGGGAAUAUUGGACAAUGGGGGGAACCCUGAUCCAGCCAUGCCGCGUGUGUGAAGAGGGCCCUCGGGUUGUAAAGCACUUUCAGUGAGGAAGAACGCCUGGUGGUUAAUACCCAUCAGGAAAGACAUCACUCACAGAAGAAGCACCGGCUAACUCCGUGCCAGCAGCCGCGGUAAUACGGAGGGUGCGAGCGUUAAUCGGAAUUACUGGGCGUAAAGCGCGCGUAGGUGGCUUGAUAAGCCGGUUGUGAAAGCCCCGGGCUCAACCUGGGAACGGCAUCCGGAACUGUCAAGCUAGAGUGCAGGAGAGGAAGGUAGAAUUCCCGGUGUAGCGGUGAAAUGCGUAGAGAUCGGGAGGAAUACCAGUGGCGAAGGCGGCCUUCUGGACUGACACUGACACUGAGGUGCGAAAGCGUGGGUAGCAAACAGGAUUAGAUACCCUAGUAGUC
rnacentral:rRNA from 1 species